GCCAUGCUGUCGCACGGGUUUAGACCCGUGGCGAACAGCUCAGUAACACGUGGCCAAACUGCCCUGUGGACGGAGAUAAUCUCGGGAAACUGAGGCUAAUCCCCGAUAGGGCUUCCAUCCUGGAGUGGAGGAAGUCCAAAAGUUGCGCUGCGGCACCACAGGAUGUGGCUGCGGCCGAUUAGGUAGACGGUGGGGUAACGGCCCACCGUGCCAGUAAUCGGUACGGGUGAUGAGAGUCAGAGCCCGGAGACGGUAUCUGAGACAAGAUACCGGGCCCUACGGGGCGCAGCAGGCGCGAAACCUUUACACUGCACGACAGUGCGAUAGGGGGAUUCCGAGUGCGAGGGCAUACAGUCCUCGCUUUUCUGGACCGUAAGGAGGUCCAAGAAUAAGGGCUGGGCAGGACCGGUGCCAGCCGCCGCGGUAAUACCGGCAGCCCGAGUGAUGGCCGAUAUUAUUGGGCCUAAAGCGUCCGUAGCUGGCCAGACAAGUCCGUUGGGAAAUCCACGCGCUCAACGCGUGGGCGUCCAGCGGAAACUGCCUGGCUUGGGGCCGGAGGACUCGAGGGGUACGUCCGGGGUAGGAGUGAAAUCCCGUAAUCCUGGACGGACCACCGGUGGCGAAAGCGCCUCGAGAGGACGGACCCGACAGUGAGGGACGAAAGCCAGGGUCUCGAACCGGAUUAGAUACCCGGGUAGUCCUGGCCGUAAACGAUGUCUGCUAGGUGUGGCGCAGGCUACGAGCCUGCGCUGUGCCGCAGGGAAGCCGUGAAGCAGACCGCCUGGGAAGUACGUCCGCAAGGAUGAAACUUAAAGGAAUUGGCGGGGGAGCACUACAACCGGAGGAGCCUGCGGUUUAAUUGGACUCAACGCCGGACAUCUCACCGGCACCGACAACAGUGAUGACGGUCAGGUUGAUGACCUUGCUCGAGUUGUUGA
rnacentral:rRNA from 1 species